rnacentral:tRNA from 1 species
GGCGCGGUAGCCAAGUGGUUAGGCAACGGUUUGCAAAACCGUCAUACGUCGGUUCGAAUCCGAUCCGCGCCUCCA